CUCCCCUCCCGACCCGCCCCCCGCCGCUGUCACUUCACCGUGCAGCUCCGGUGCGGACAGCAAAACAGCGGCAAGUAACUUGGCUGCAAGAUGGCAGAACCACACCAGGAUGUCACCGUGGUGGAGGACCAGGAGAGGCAGCACGUCCCCUCAGGCUAUCCCCUUCAGAUUCCAGUCGAUGACGGAUCGGAUGAGCCUGUUUCUGAAACCUCUGACGCUAAGAGCACCCCAACUACAGAAGAUGCCACAGCACCUUUAGUAGAGGAAGGAGACCAAGAGGAUCAGCACGGGGAGAUCCCAGAAGGAACCACAGCUGAAGAGGCGGGCAUAGGAGCCACCCCCAGCCUGGAGGACCACGCUGCAGGAGAUGCUGCUCAAGCCCCAGGGGAGCCCAGCUCUCCAAAGCUGCAGCCUGGCCUUAAGGAGCACGUGGGAGGUGUGAUGAAAAGGGGCAGCCAGCCCAUGGAGCAGCUGGCUGCUGUUCCUCAGGAGCCUCUUCUGCAACAAGAAACAAAGCCUGCAGCCACAGCUCCCACCAGGAUCGAGGUCACUAUCCCGAUACCCCUGGAUAUGUACCAAGAUGUCCGACCAGCUGAGGACAGCAGUGAGCUGUGGGAUCGUGGGGGCAGAGAAGGCAUUGGUGUGGAUUCAGCAAUGGGAGAAGAGCUGGGUGAUGUGUGCGCCGUGGGGCUGGCAGGAGCAGGUGGCACUGAUGCCUCCCGUACUGCAGCUGGGCCAGCUCCGUUAUAUGCUGGAGCCCCACUAAAAGAAGAUGCCAGCAGAUGGGAAAGAGAUGAGGAUGAAGCUUCUCGGCAGGGUUUGCUUGGCCUGGUGGGACAGCGUGUUCCUCCAGGACCCGAAGCAACCAAAGAAGCUCUUGAAGAAGAAAGCAAGUCCAGAGAUGUCCUGAGAGACACAGAGAGAGAGGCGCUCCUUGUUGAACGUGAAGCACGGAAAGCAGAAGACCAAGAGGAGAGACAGCAGUUGCAGGGGGAAGAGUCAUACGCAGAUGUCACCUCGUCUGAGCCUUCUGAGACCCAAACAGAAGGGGCAGGAGGGGAUGCUGGGCCCUUAAAGGAAGCAGCCAAACCCCCCGUUGGGUUAAAGGAUGGCAGGGAAGACAGAGAUGCUGCCGUGGAAGAGGCAGAGCUGGGUGCAGAAGGGUGCAGGACGCCCAAGAAGAAGCCUGGUGCUGCAGAUAAAGCAGUCAGUCGAGUUCCUCUCCUGAAAGCUCGUAUUGAUAGCAAAGACAAGGAAGGGGCUGAAACUGAUGAAAAGAAACCGAAGAAAUCCUCACCUUCCACUGCCAAACCCCCAAGCGAUAGAGCCUCCAUCCCUCCCCACCGACACACCUCCUCUAGCACAGCCCCUCCGAAAUCUCCCUCCAGCCCUGCAUCCACCUCUAAACGAGUCACACCCCGACCUGCCAGUACAGGAACGCAUGAAACAAAGGCCAAGGGCCAGGAGAUGAGGGGUGGCACCAAGCCGGCCACGCCGCGCUCUGCAGCCGGGCAGGCACAGAGGAACGCCAGCAACGCCACCCGCAUCCCAGCCAAAACCCCCACGGCCCCCAAGACCCCUCCUGGCUCUGGCAGAAAGGAGCAGAAAAAGCCACCCCCCGCAGCAGCGAAGUCUGAGAAAGGUGAGCAGCCCAAGUCUGGAGACAGAAGCGGUUACAGCAGUCCCGGCUCCCCCGGGACUCCAGGCAGCCGUUCCCGCACUCCUUCUCUGCCCACCCCACCAGCCAGGGAGCCCAAGAAGGUGGCUGUGGUUCGCACGCCUCCCAAAUCGCCCGCGUCUGCCAAGAGCCGCGUGCAGCCCUCGGCGGCUCCGAUGCCCGACCUGAAAAACGUCAAAUCCAAAAUCGGCUCCACCGAAAACCUGAAGCACCAACCUGGAGGUGGCAAGGUGCAGAUUAUUAAUAAGAAGCUGGACUUUAGCAGCGUUCAAUCCAAGUGUGGCUCAAAGGAUAAUAUCAAACACAUCCCAGGAGGAGGCAGUGUGCAGAUUGUUAAUCAGAAGUUGGACUUUAGCAGCGUUCAAUCCAGGUGUGGCUCAAAGGAUAAUAUCAAACACAUCCCGGGAGGAGGCAGUGUGAGUACCUUCACACUUUGAGCGCGCUGUGGUCCCCCCCCCGUAGUGGCAUGUUGUAUAACACCAAGCACCAAUGCUAUUUGCAGCAGCGCUGCUGUCAGAUAGCAAUUGGUGACGUGCUGUCGUUUAACCCAUUAACCCAGAAGACGUGGGUAGAGGAGCCCUAACGAGUCCUUUUCCGUGCCUGACGUGGGCAGAGCUAACUGAGCCGCGUGCAAACCGUGUCUGUAACAAAACAUCUCUUAACCUGAGGCUUUGUGCUGCCUGCGAGGCUCGGGCCCCUGCACACAGUGCAGUCAGUGAUAGAUGUAAAAGCAAAUGCAGCCCUCGUUGCUUACUGUACUGCUGAGGUGCACGUGGCCCUGCACAGCACGUAGAAGCGAGGUUCCUGGCCUUUCCCAUCAGGCAAGUAUGAUCCAUGUGAAUAUCAAGCUUCUCCUCGUGUCCACUGUGUGUGUUGGUGCCCGUGGGGGCUGAGCCUGAAGUGAUACUGAGCAAACGGAUUGCAACGUGGGCAUUUCCAGCCAUUCCCUGACCUGUAACCACGCUCAGCUUCCAGGUGCUGUGCCAGAAAGCUGGAGGGGCUCUGCAGGGUUGGUGGAUUUUGCACCGUCUGCUCUGGAGGCAGAGUUUGGGUCUGGGAAUGGUGGUGGGCAAAGGGAGGAGCAUCACUGAGACCCCAAACAGUGCAGCCCUGGGGCUGUGCCCGCUCUGUGCCCAUCUGUGGAAGCCUCCUGGUGCCCUCAGAUGUUCCCCAUGGGUUUCCUCUGUGCUGUUUUUGAUCUCUGGAUGCCCUCCCUGAGAAACCGAGCAUCGCAGAGGGCUCGGCACAUAAAGGAUGUAACUGGGUUUGCCACCUUGGUCUUAAAUCUGAUGUAAUUCCACGUUUAUUCGCACACCAGAGGAGCUGCUUUGCAGAGGUCAGGCCUCUGUGAGACACGUUCCCUGCUGCUUUUGCCAUGUCUUAAACCCAAGCCCUGCCCUGGCUGCGCUGCCUGCUGCGCUGUUAGGCCAGGAGCUGAUGUGUGCCACGCAUCGUCGUGCUGGCAGCAGAGCUCAGCACACACUGAGCAGGCACUGAAAGCUGCAGCAGGUGAAGAAUGCCCUGCAUUUUAAGGUAGAGAUCAUCAUCCUGUGCCUUGGGGCUCCUCUGACUGGGGAGCAACGAGAAGCCACUGGGGUGCAAUGCAGCUGUGCCUUAAUCCUCUGCAGCACAGUCAGCAGUGACUGCCUGCAUAGCCACGCUGCUCCAAGGCAAAGACAGUGACCUGGGGGCAGAUGUAAUAACCUGGGGGCAGAUACAGAACCUGGGGGCAGAUACAGAACCUGGGGUCAGAUAGAGUAACCUGGGGGCAGAUACAGUGACUUGGGGGCAGAUACAGAACCUGGGCUCAGUGCCUUUCUCAUGGCAGUGCUCUGACACAGCGAUGCUUUAGGCAGAAGCUGACCUACGCAUUGCUGAUGCUGAGAUGGGAUCCCCAGGUCUCUGGCACUGAUUUCCCAGGCAAACAACUCUGUGCCUGUUUGCCUUCCUUGUUGCUCCCCAGCAGGAUAACAAAUUGUUCAGUGAGUCUUGUCUGUAAAAACACUGAGCUGGAAGGAGAGCAGGAAGGACUCAGCGAUGGGUCUCUUGCUGUGGAAAUGGGAGGUCUCUCACAGCCGGGUCCUGCAGCGGGGCACACUGGGGUUAGAAGGGCACAGCUCUGUCCUCCCACCUCCUGUUUGUGCCUUCUGAAGAGCCCGGCUCUCCUCCUGCUCAGUGCAUUCCGUGUGACCUCUCCCCAUCCCUGUCUUCACAUCUGUCCCUGCUGUGUGCUCUCAGCCCCUGCGGUUGCUGUUCUCCCCGUCCCUCUGUCCCCACUCUCCGUGCGAUGUCCUGUCGGUGUGUCUGACCAUCAGAGGUGGGGCUGACCCACGUGUUUGACAUCCAGCCUUACUGCAGGUCCAGGCUCAGCCCUCGAGCCCUGCAGCGCCUGCUGGCACCGGGCCUUGCUGCCUUGCUGCGCUCCCACACCUUUCCCUGGCUGCGGAGCGGAGCUGGGGGGCGAUGCUGUGUGCACAGCCCCGCUGCCACCUGUGGCUCUGAGGGUCAGGAUGGGCUGCCGGGCACGGGGCCACGCGAGGUUUGGUGCAUGCAGGGCAUUGCAGGCAGCACGGGGCGCUGCUCCCGGCGCUGCAGGGAGGCGAUGAAGCUCCAGCUGUGAGUGCUGAUGGAGGGGCUGCUCAGCAGGCACACAGAGAGCAGCACCCGCUGCCCUGCAGCUCCCAGGGCUGCCCGGUUCCUGGGGGUGCGAGCCCAAUCGCAGGGCGCUGGGGAUGCAGCGACGUUCUGUCCCCUCUGUCCCCUCUGUCCCGGUGUCGCUGCUGUGUGUUUGCCCUGCUUUGCCCUCCCCGAGGCUCUCAGCCCUCCCUGUUCUCCACUGCCCGCAUCCCCCCUGUGUUUGUGUGCAUCUGGGGCUGCGCGUCCGGGGUGCAGCAACGCCAGGAUGUGCCCUCGUGCUUCAGUGUGCUCCAACUCCCGCUUAGGUUCCAUGCUAUGAACUCCCACCGGAUCUUUAGGCUUUAUUUCUCUUUAUUUUUUGACCCUCUGUAGCUCCAUGACAGCCUUGUUGUUGUUGUUGUUUUUCAGAAAUGCGUAUUUUUUUGGUCACUCUUGUAUCCAAGUUCUGUGCACAUUGAUCAUUUCUGUUCUUUCAGUUUUUGUGGACAUAAGCUUUAUGUUUUACACCAGAAAAGGUUCAAAUUGUUUACAAGCCGGUGGACCUGAGCCACGUCACAUCCAAAUGCGGUUCCCUGGGCAACA